ensembl:lncRNA
AUGGUCUCCUCAGCUAACCGUCCUCCCUUUUGCUUCUUCUUUCAGAUGAAGCAACCACCCCAGGCCUCCCUGUGGGGACCAGUGUUGGCAUUGCAAUUGGGCUGCUGGGCGGGGUGGCCCUGCUGGCCGCCGUGGGGUAUCUCCUGCUCCUAUGGAGGAUGGCAAGGCCGCAGGGCGUUCAGGAGAGACUGGUCUGGGACUGGACUGUGGGUCAGCAGGCUGGGAGAAGGCUGCUCCAGAAGCAGAAGUGGUCACCUCUGCAGAGAAAUGACUCUCCCCCUGUGCACUGACACCCAUUCUCUCCCCCUGUCCAGAUCUCCCUCCCCAGCACGAGUCCAGCCAUUCCCAUCUACCAGGUGAGUGUGGGCCAUGAAUAUUCUGGUCCCCCAAGCCCAAGGGGGCUGAGGAUCUGCCCCCAGCCCACCCCUGUGCUUUCAGGUUCUGAUGGGAUAGGUGUUAGUGAGAGGAAGGAGGGGCCUGGGGCAGAAACCUGCCACCCAGCCAGGCUUCCAGAGAGCUGGGCACAGGACCUGAAAGUCACCCAGACAUGUUCUGAAAAGGGAGUUCAGAGGCCUCUUCUCCUGCAGGAAUUACAAUAAUACCCUGACAGGAACAUUUACUGCCAGAUCAACCACAAAUGACAAGUAAUUUCUUAGUUUUCCUGGGACCUACACCUUCCAGGGGCCCUCCUGGCACCCUAGACCCUAGGUGGGGUCAGGUGCCCCAGCCUGAGCCAGAGAACGUGCCUUAAGUCCAGAGGAUAUUCAGGAACAUGGACCCUGAGUAUGGGCCUCCCUGAUUUCUGGAAACCGUGACAGUAUGCCAUGAACCCGGGAAGGGCCAGGACAAAGGCUCCCAUGUCCCAAAUCGUGGGGGUUCCUAGGGAACAUGCCCCGGCCCCUGACCCACCUGAGACAACAUGAGAGGAUCGGAAUAAAGAGGACCCUUCCCCUCCUUUGCCCUUUUUUGGGGAAUGGUGAUUUCUCUGAGCAGAAAUUCACCUGAAACUCUGGGGUCUUCUCCCCUGGGUCUCCCCAGGAAAUGUUACCUGGGAGUAACCAAGCCCCCACCUUAGUCCCCUGACAUAGACAAGGGGGCAAGUGGUGUGGACAUGCUGGGACCAUGUGUACUAGAGACGGAGAGAUCUCCAGGGCUGUGGCCAAACCCCAACAGCACUCUGCCGUCCUCAUCCUGCUCAGGUUCCAAGGCUAGAGACUCCCCCAAUGUUUGUCACUGUGCACUGGGUUCUCAGGAGCAUGGAACAUGUGGCCUCUGAUGACUACAGGAGGAUGAGCUAGGGAGGAGCCACCAUGGGCAGGCACACGUCCUAGGUGGGACCCCUUCACAGCCGUUUGGUAAUCUGAGCCCUUUGGUCCUCUUCUCCCAGCCCCAGUGGCCCUGACUGGUGGCCUUCACCAAUAAACUUGCCCUGUCCCCAAAACCAGGGCGCUGAGACCUGUCCAAAGUUUCUCCUCUGUGUCAGAGACCAGGCUUCAGGAUGUCCUUCCCUCUGGGGUGACCUAUAGAGAGGCUUCAGAGUAACCCCAGUGGAGAGCACCCAGAAUUCGUGCCCUGAGCGUGGCUCCCCAGGCACUGCAGGUGACGUCUGGCCCAGGGCUUCCCGACAGUGUCCACUUUUCUCCCUGAACUGGAUCUUAUCUUGAAACACACCUCCUCCCCAUCAGUAAGGGUCCACAUCAGAGGCAGAGGGCUUCCCGCACCUAACUCUCACCCAGGCUCCAGUGGAGAUGGGACAACGUGUCCAUUCCACCUGGUCCCCAGGCCUGGUCCCACCAUCUACCUGCGCCUCCUCCACACACCUGGGUCAGGACUCUCCGCCCUUCCCGGAAGCCCACGUUAGGUGCUGUUCCUGUGCAGAUUCACUGGCAUCCAUGCCCCUAUUCACACAAACAAAAGUGGUCUGAGCACCAAGACACUCCCCCGUGUUUCACAAGUGUGGUGGGGAUCCCCCAAGUGUUGUUUCUUAGCCAUAAGAGGAGCAGUAAGAAAAUCAACCUGCAAAAAUAUCACAUCAUUAUUGAGCUCUAAGAUGCUCCUGUCCCAGUGCACACUAUGUUGGAUUCGACAAGGUGACGCCUUUUGUUAGUGUCCUCUUGCUGCUCUAGCGAGUUAUUGUAAGCUUAGUGGUGGAAGUCAACACAAAUCAAGGUCCCUUCUUGGCUGUUUCUUCUGGAGGCUGUAGGAGAGAGUCUAUUUCCAUGUUUUUUCAAGCUGUGCAGUUGGAGGCCACCUGUGUUCCAUGGCUGUGGCCCCUUCCGCCACCUUCAAAGCCUGCAGCACAACAUCUUGAAGUCUUCUGUGUCCUGUUUCCCACAUCACAUCUUCUCUCUGGUUCUGCCUCUCCUGCCUCCUUCUGUCAUUCCCUCUGUUACUCCCUCUUUCACUCCUGGGUGGCUCAGUCAGUUAUGUGUCCAACUUCAGCUCAGGUCAUGAUCUCACAAGUUCGGGCCCCGUGUCAGACUCUGUGCUGACAGCUAUGGAGCCUGGAGUCUGGAACGUGCUUUGGAUUCUGUCUGUCUCUCUCAAAAAUAAACAUUAAAAAAAUGUUUUAAAGGAAAAAGAAAGGACCUUUGUGAUUAUUUUGGCCCACCUGGAU